rnacentral:rRNA from 1 species
AGAGUUUGAUCCUGGCUCAGGAUGAACGCUAGCUACAGGCUUAACACAUGCAAGUCGAGGGGAAACGACAUCGAAAGCCUGCUUUUGAUGGGCGUCGACCGGCGCACGGGUGAGUAACGCGUAUCCAACCUGCCCACCACUUGGGGAUAACCUUGCGAAAGUAAGACUAAUACCCAAUGAUAUCUCUAGAAGACAUCUGAAAGAGAUUAAAGAUUUAUCGGUGAUGGAUGGGGAUGCGUCUGAUUAGCUUGUUGGCGGGGUAACGGCCCACCAAGGCGACGAUCAGUAGGGGUUCCGAGAGGAAGGCCCCCCACAUUGGAACUGAGACACGGUCCAAACUCCUACGGGAGGCAGCA